AGAGGGAGCCAGCCACCCGCCAAUAUGGCGAAAUAAGGAGGGAAAAGGUUUUUUUUUUUUUUGAGCAUAUGUGUGAUUUGGUGAAAAGAAAAGGGCGCGCACUUUAACCGGUGUGAUCAGAUACGGUACAGAGUACGGUUUCUCGAAUGGUCGGAUCAAUGAUUCAGUAGUAUCAGUGUAUUAGAUCUUAGCCGUUGACUAAGAUGUCUACGGCGUUUGACUUUUGGAGUACUGCAGUCUGUAUGUGUGAAUUUAUGCCGAGCGACGCACACCAACUCACCCAAAAUCUCACCAGUUAAUAUGCGCAUAGAUUAGAUAGGUAUGUUGCAAACCAAGCGUAGAUUAAAUAUCAAUUUGUUUGUGUUUCAAUAUUUGCAUACUAAUGAACAUCUGGUAUGAAUGUAUCUUUAAACACUUAGAAUCAUUGGAUCUUUUAUUUAAGUUAAAGAUCGACGAAUUUAAAAAUAUUUUGAUUCAUUUGGUAUGAUGAUGAUGAUGAUGAUGAUCCACUGUGAAGCAAAGAUUUAGUGCAAAAUUGAGAUACUAAUUAUACAUUAAGGGGAUGUAUU
rnacentral:lncRNA from 1 species